rnacentral:rRNA from 1 species
GAGUGGCGGACGGGUGAGUAACACGUGACCAACCUACCUUCGGGAGGGGGACAACCUGGGGAAACCCGGGCUAAUACCGCAUAUCGUCCACGGGCCGCAUGGCCUGUGGAUAAAAGGGAGCCUCUGCUUGCAUGCUCUCACCCGAAGAGGGGGUCGCGGCGUAUCAGCUAGUUGGUGGGGUAAUGGCCUACCAAGGCAUCGACGCGUAGCGGGUCUGAGAGGACGACCCGUCACAUUGGGACUGAGAUACGGCCCAGACUCCUACGGGAGGCAGCAGUGGGGAAUAUUGCGCAAUGGCCGAAAGGUUGACGCAGCGACGCCGCGUGUGGGAGGACGCCCUUCGGGGUGUAAACCACUGUCAGGGGGGAAGAACUUCGUAGGUGUGAAUAGCGCCUGCGGUUGACGGUACCCCCAGAGGAAGCGCCGGCUAACUCCGUGCCAGCAGCCGCGGUAAGACGGAGGGCGCAAGCGUUGUUCGGAAUUACUGGGCGUAAAGGGCAGGUAGGUGGUCUGUUAAGUCUUCUGUGAAAAUCCGGGGCUCAACCCCGUGAAAUGCAGGUGAAACUGGCAGACUUGAGACCGGUAGAGGCUAGCGGAAUUCCUGG